UACGUAGGGUGCGAGCGUUAAUCGGAAUUACUGGGCGUAAAGCGUGCGCAGGCGGUUCGUUAAGUUCGUUGUGAAAGCCCCGGGCUCAACCUGGGAACUGCAAUGGAAACUGGCGGGCUUGAGUAUGGCAGAGGGGGGUGGAAUUCCGCGUGUAGCAGUGAAAUGCGUAGAGAUGUGGAGGAACACCGAUGGCGAAGGCAGCCCCCUGGGUCAAGACUGACGCUCAUGCACGAAAGCGUGGGGAGCAAACAGG
rnacentral:rRNA from 1 species